UACGUAGGGACCGAGCGUUGUCCGGAUUCAUUGGGCGUAAAGGGCUCGUAGGCGGCUGCUCAAGUCGAACGUGAAAUCCCCGGGCUCAACCCGGGAACUGCGUCCGAUACUGGCAGGCUUGAAUUCGGGAGAGGGAUGUGGAAUUCCAGGUGUAGCGGUGAAAUGCGUAGAUAUCUGGAGGAACACCGGUGGCGAAGGCGGCAUCCUGGACCGAUAUUGACGCUGAUGCGCGAAAGCCAGGGGAGCAAACGGG
rnacentral:rRNA from 1 species